AUGUCACUGCUGGAAGCAUUCACCUUCUUGUCCUUCUGGGCUGUUGGACUUGGGUUAACAAAAGUGGAGCAGUCCCAGAUAUCCAUUACCAAAGCAGUAAAGAAAAGUGUUAACAUAUAUUGCAAGAUAACAAGCUCAGAUUUUGAAGGGGAAUACGUUCACUGGUACCGGCAGAAACCCAAUAAGGAUUUGGAGCAUCUGAUUUAUGUGCGCUUCACAGGAAGCCCAGCUCUAGCUAACCUAGGUGGGAAGAAAAAUAAACUUGAGGCCAGAAAGGAUUCUCAAACUUCCACUUCAAUGCUUACCAUACAUGCCAUAGAAAAUGAAGAUGUGGCCAUUUACUACUGUGCUGGAUGGGACCACAAGGUAGGCCUCUGGAUCAAGAUAUUCGGAGACGGAACUAAGCUCAUAGUAACUCCCUCUGAUAGACGCCUUCCUGCAGACACUUCUCCCAAGCCCACCAUUUUUCUUCCUUCAAUUGCUGAAAUCAACCUCCACAAGGCUGGAACACAUCUUUGUCUUCUUGAGAAUUUUUUCCCAGAUGUUAUCAAGGUAUAUUGGAAGGAAAAGAAUGGCAAUACAAUUCUGGAGUCCCAGGAGGGAAAAACCAUGAAGACCAGUGACACAUACAUGAAACUCAGCUGGCUGACCGUGACUGAAGAGUCAAUGGAUAAAGAACACAAAUGUAUCGCCCAACAUGAGAAAAAUAAAGGAGGGGUUGACCAAGAGAUUCUCUUUCCUUCGGUAAAUCAAGACGCUGUGCUAGGAACUGUGAAUACAAAAAGAAAACAAGAUAAUGUUGGACAUUACCAUCGCACUGUGGUAGGAGCUAUGAAUACAGAAGGAAAACAAGAUAGUCUUGGAUAUCACCGUCCAUACCUAAGACUGCAGCUCAGCAACGUCUCUGCCUAUUACACCUACCUCCUCCUCCUCCUCAAGGGCGCCAUCUAUUUUUCCAUCAUCGCCUUCCGUCUGUUCAGGAGAACAGAAGACUGUGACAUGGAAACAGUUUGUAACAGAUGGUGGCAGAAGGAAGUCAACUGGUCUUCAUUUAUUUUCCCUAAAAGAGACCCCUGAGGAUCUAGCGGGGCUUUCUUUCUGGGUUUGGGUUAUUUCAGUUCACAUGUGUACUUUUUGUUAUGUCAUUAUUGUGUAAUGGUUUUUCAAACUA